rnacentral:rRNA from 1 species
UGCUGGCGCAGCUACCAUGCAGUCGAGCGGAACGAAGAGGUGCUUGCACCUCUGGCGUCGAGCGGCGGACGGGUGAGUAAUGCUUGGGAAUAUGCCUUAUGGUGGGGGACAACAGUUGGAAACGACUGCUAAUACCGCAUGAUGUCUACGGACCAAAGUGGGGGACCUUCGGGCCUCACGCCAUAAGAUUAGCCCAAGUGGGAUUAGCUAGUUGGUGAGGUAAUGGCUCACCAAGGCGACGAUCCCUAGCUGGUUUGAGAGGAUGAUCAGCCACACUGGGACUGAGACACGGCCCAGACUCCUACGGGAGGCAGCAGUGGGGAAUAUUGCACAAUGGGCGCAAGCCUGAUGCAGCCAUGCCGCGUGUGUGAAGAAGGCCUUCGGGUUGUAAAGCACUUUCAGUAAGGAGGAAAGGUUAAGUGUUAAUAGCACUUAGCUGUGACGUUACUUACAGAAGAAGCACCGGCUAACUCCGUGCCAGCAGCCGCGGUAAUACGGAGGGUGCGAGCGUUAAUCGGAAUUACUGGGCGUAAAGCGUACGCAGGCGGUUUGUUAAGCGAGAUGUGAAAGCCCCGGGCUCAACCUGGGAACUGCAUUUCGAACUGGCAAACUAGAGUGUGAUAGAGGGUGGUAGAAUUUCAGGUGUAGCGGUGAAAUGCGUAGAGAUCUGAAGGAAUACCGAUGGCGAAGGCAGCCACCUGGGUCAACACUGACGCUCAUGUACGAAAGCGUGGGGAGCAAACAGGAUUAGAUAUGCUUGGUAGUCAC